AAGAAACCCUCUAAAUGGGUUACGGAUUAUACCGUUUAAAGAAAAGGGGGAAAAUCCGAUUAGCAGGUAAUAAAGGUAAAGGGUAAUUAGUUUAAUCAGUCUUUAAUUUUUAUUAUUAUCAUAAAUUGUAAGAGUGUAGUACACUCAUUAAUUAGUUGUUACAAUUUAAUUAAUGCAUCCCUUUGUAUCCCUAUAAAGGGCCCCGAUGUACUUGAUUUACAAUUAAUGAAAUAAAAUAUAAUUUUCCCAUUCAUCUCCCUCUCACAAUCCCGACGUUCAACCUUUCAUUCCCCAUUUCCGAUCAGACCCUCCGGCAAGCCCCACAGCUCGCCUCGCUCUACAAUCAGAUCCCAUACCGCCGUCAUCCUCCUAGCACCUCCCUCCGAGUCUCCGGACACCUUCAAUUUCAUCCAGGAAGCCUCCUCAAGAUCGUUCCAGUCGACCCUGCUCCAGAUUGCCCCUGCUUCAAACAAAUUUUCACAAGGAAUUAAUUCCACAGCUCUUAGUCUCUACUAUCUAGAUCGAAUUCCGAUCUUAGAUCGGAGACAAAGGGUCCCUUCAGGUCCUUUUGAUCCAUUUAAAUUUGUGGAAUUAAUUCAUUGAUACCUUAGGUGUAUGAGAACUAAUUAAAAGAGGAACAGAUAGAAUAUGUGCCUACAACUAUGUAAUUUGUAGAUAGAUUUACCAAAACAUUGAGCAUUGAAGGAUUUGUCCAGCACCGGCAACGUCACAAGCUUGUCCCAGUCCGACCAUCGGAGCCUAUACAAUCAAAUCUAGCAAAUUCCAUCCAGCCAGAUUUGAGGGAGGAUGUGAAAGAGAAAGAAGAGUUAGCCGCCCAAACUUCAAAAGAUUUAAAUUUGGAAUCAGUAAACGGGUUAAACCCGACACUCAAACUAAAGAUCCAAAUAAAUUAAAAGAAGAAGGAAUGAGUACGUGAAAGGCGGAAGUUAAGAUAAUUAUAAAAAAGAAGAGAAGCAGUUGAAGAGUUACCUGAAAAAGAUUUAUCUUUUACAUAUGUGAGUUUUCUGUUUCUGAUUCUCUGCGGUUUGAUAUUGGUGUUUCAGCUUUCGAUUUCGUAUUGGUGAUCUUUUUUUUCACGUUUCAGGUAUCAUGUUCCGAUCACAAUUGUUCAGUUCUUAUUAAAUUAUGUUUCUGUUUCUUUUCUCCAAUUCAGCUUUCGAUUUAAUUCUGUUUUUGAUUCAUCUGUCUUUAGAUUUCAAUAGCGUAGAAUGUGUAUUGUUUUCUAGAUCAAUUGUACUCAAAUUAGAUAGUAAUUGUCAAUUUCAUACUCUGUAAUUUCUUAGCUUAGUUCUGCAGUUUCUUUCUUAAUUCUGUCAGUUUCCACAUUGAAUUGCAAAGUCUUUUAUUCAAUUCAAAUCUGAGUAUAUUCAAUUUCAUUCAGUAGUAUUCUGAAGUAAUAAGCAAUUGUUGAUUUCAUACUCAGUUAAUCCUUAGAUUAGUAUUGUUGUAUAAUUCUGAAUUCUGUAAUUCUUCACAUUAAAUCAUCUAUAUCUUAGUUCAAUUGUAAUAUGAAUUCAUUCAAUUAUAAUCAAUUGCAAUUAGUAAUUCUAUGUCUCA
rnacentral:lncRNA from 1 species